rnacentral:snRNA from 1 species
GUGCUUGCUUCAGCAGCAUGUAUACUAAAAUUAGAAUGAUACAGAAAAGAUUAGCAUGGCCUCUGUGCAAGGAUGACAUGCAAAUUCGUGAAGCAUUCCAUAUUUUU